rnacentral:rRNA from 1 species
UACAGAGGUCUCAAGCGUUGUUCGGAUUCAUUGGGCGUAAAGGGUGUGUAGGUGGCGCCCGUAAGUCGGGUGUGAAAUUUCGGAGCUUAACUCCGAAACUGCAUUCGAUACUGCGGUGCUUGAGGACUGGAGAGGGGACUGGAAUUCAUGGUGUAGCAGUGAAAUGCGUAGAGAUCAUGAGGAAAACCAGUGGCGAAGGCGGGGUCUCUGGACAGUUCCUGACACUGAGACACGAAGGCCAGGGGAGCAAACGGG